AAAAACGUUCAAUGCACAAUAAAUGAUCAAAUAAAAUUAAAAAAAAAAAGCCUCAGAAAAAAUAAAUCGUCGCUUAUGUGUAUAUAUUUUCUUGUUCUUUUCACCGAUGCUUUGAGAUUGGUGAUUUUUUCUCAAUCGAAUAAACUUUGAAUCGGAAUUUUGAUUAUUGCUAUUGUCAAAUUUGAUAGUUGAGAUUAUAAGCUUAAAAAUGGCGUCAAUGGUUCUUAAAGGUAGUAGCAGUGGUAAUCAUGUAUCUCCAUUGCUGUCAAUUCAAGAAAAAGGUAGCCGAAAUAAGCGAAAAUUCCGUGCUGAUCUGCCGUUAGGUGAUCAAAAUAAGAUUAUAACUUCACCUCAAAAUGGAUGUCCGAGUUAUGAGUUUUGUGCUGAGAAGUUCGAAAUCACCCCAGUCCAUGGUCAAGCUAGUGCAUACGACUUGUGUAGUGUGAGCCAAGAUCAUUCCGGUGGAUUGAAACUCGACCUGAGAUUGUCUAGCACGUUAGGUUCUUCAGAGGUUGGGCCAAGUCGGGCUAAAGAGGAACUAGAGGCAGAUGAAUUCCAAGAUGCUGAUUGGAGUGAUCUCACGGAAUCUCAGCUAGAAGAACUUGUUUUAAGCAAUUUGGAUACAAUAUUCAAGAGUGCAAUAAAGAAAAUCGUUGCUUACGGUUACACAGAAGAAAUUGUUACUAAGGCAGUCUUGAGAUCAGGCCUUUGUUAUGGUUGUAAAGACACGGUCUCAAAUAUAGUGGAUAAUACCUUAGCAUAUCUAAGAAGUGGCCAAGAUUAUAAUCCUUCAAGAGACCACUAUUUCGAGGAUCUCCAGCAGAUGGAGAAGUAUAUAUUAACGGAACUGGUUUGUGUUCUUCGAGAAGUCCGGCCUUUCUUCAGCACUGGGGAUGCUAUGUGGUGCUUAUUGAUUUGUGAUAUGAAUGUGUCGCAUGCUUGUGCUAUGGAUGGUGAUCCUUUGAGUGGUUUUGCUGGUGAUGGAGGUUCUAAUGGGAUUUCUUUUUCUUCAAACCAACCCCAGUUGAAGCCUGAAGCCAAAACUUCUGAAUUGAAUCUUCCAAAUCCGUGUAGACCAGUUCCAUCCUUUCCUUGUUCUCAUAGUUCUCCACCUGAGGUACCAUCUACGGGAAUCAGCAACACAACAAAAUCAAAGAAUUCUGUUGUCCUAAGUGGUAUAGUCUCGGAGAAAGAGGGAACAAACUCCACUGCUGAUAGCGCAGAUAAAACUUUCAGUGCGGGGGGAACAUCUCAAUUUUCAACAAUGGAAGAGAAGUUUGUGGGUAGUAGAAAGACUCACUCUACCAAGAGAGAAUUUCUUCGGCAGAAGUCACUUCAUCUGGAGAAAAACUACAAGACAUAUGGAUCUAAAGGGUCAUCGAGAGCUAAAAUGAGCAGUUUGGGAGGUUUAAUCUUGGACAAGAAAUUAAAAUCUGUCUCCAAUUCUGCUACUGUUAAUAUAAAAGGCGCAUCUUUGAAAAUUAAGGCAAUGGGAGCCGAUGUCUCUCAAGAUAAUGAGAGUCAUCUUCUGGCUAAUUUGGGUCCGUCUUCUUCUACAUCAUUUUGCUUAGAUAAUGAUAGUAAUAUUUCUGCAGUGCCUAAGACCGAUAUAGCGACUAUUUCUCCCCUGGUAAACAUGCCACCUGAAUUACUACCUAUGAAUAACCCACCUACACUAUCAACUACUGAUACUGAGCUUUCCCUUUCAUUGCCUACCAAAAGCAAUUCAAUUGUAGUGCCUCCUGUUUCACAUUUCAAGGUUGCUAAUCCUAGCUAUGUUGGGAUGCCAUUUGGUAAUUCAUUGGGGGAUUGGGUCCCUCAGGAUAAGAAGGAUGAGAUGAUUUUGAAGCUGGUACCGAGGGUGCAGGAACUGCAAAAUCAGCUCCAAGACUGGACAGAGUGGACUAAUCAAAAGGUUAUGCAGGCCGCUCGUCGAUUGAGUAAAGACAAAGUUGAACUUAAGACUUUGAGGCAAGAGAAAGAGGAAGUUGAACUGCUUAAGAAAGAGAAGUUGAGUUUGGAAGAAAACACUAGGAAGAAGCUCGUCGAGAUGGAUGUUGCUUUGUCCAAGGCUAGCGGGCAGGUGGAACGCGCUAAUGCUACUGUCCGCAGGUUUGAAGUGGAAAAUGCAGCACUACGGCAGGAAAUGGAGGCUGCAAAAUUACGUGCUGCAGAGUCGGCAGCUAGUUGUCAGGAGGUAUCAAAGAGGGAGAAGAAAACUCUGAUGAAAGUUCAGUCUUGGGACAAGCAAAAGAACUUGUUUCAAGAAGAGCUCAUGACCGAAAAGCGCAAGGUCACCCAACUUCUACAUGAAUUACAGCUGGCUAAAGUUAUCCAAGAACAGUUUGAGGUUAAAUGGCAACAGGAACAGAAAGCAAAGGAAGAAGUAGUUACUCAGGCUAGUUUGGUAAGGAAGGAAAGAGAACAAAUCGAGGCUUCAACAAAACUAAAAGAUGACAUGAUUAAGUCCAAAGCCGAAACCAGUUUGCAAAAAUACAAAGAGGAUAUUCAGAAACUUGAACAAGAAAUCUCUCGAUUGAGACUGAAGAUGGACUCCUCAAAAAUAGCUGCACUUCGGAGGGGCAUUGAUGGAAGCUAUGUAAAAUAUAUUAGCAUGACUCAGAAGAAAUCUCGAACCCCUUUUAUCUCAGAAGUGGUGACAGAUUUCCAGGACUUCUCCGGGGAGGGAGGUGUGAAACGUGAACGUGAAUGCGUGAUGUGUUUGUCGGAGGAGAUGUCUGUGGUUUUUGUCCCCUGCGCGCAUCAGGUUGUUUGCACUACGUGCAAUGAGCUCCACAAGAAACAAGGGAUGAAAGACUGUCCUUCCUGUCGGAGUCUCAUCCAGCGCCGUAUUCCCGUCCGUUUUCUCAGAGUUGAGAGUCGGAGACAAGUUGCAUUAAAAGUGCAAGAUACUGCUUCAAUUCAAGUUCAUUCUUAUUUUAAGUGAUCAUAUAAAUACUUAAUAACUCAAUAUACUAUUUUAAAAUAUAAUAAUAUUAAGAAAUCUUUUUAUAUUCAAAAUUAUAUAUAUUUUUAAAUUAAAGGUGAAUAAAGAAAAUUAUUACCGUCCUACUAAACUUGUCACGGUUUGAUUUUUGGUGGUCAAAUUUUUAAACAUUGAUAAAUUAUUCUUUAAAUUUUAUUAUAGACAAAAAUUUUAAAAAUAUAUUAUAAAAACUUUAAAUAAAAUAAAUUUUGAAUGCAUUUUUCAUAAAAUUUAAUUAAAUAAAAUAUUUAAAAUAAUCAAGAUAAAAUAUCAACUAUGACAUUUUUACAUGAUAGGAGUCCUAAAUAAAAUUUAUGGUUGUGACCAGAAUUUGCAAAAUCUUUACUUUUUUUUUUACUGUAAACUCAGAUGCUUUUAUUACUAAAAAAAGCUUUUAAAUAACAAAAAUAAUUGUCACUUCGCUUGUCUCAAUAAACAAUAACUAUCUUUCCUCUCAUACCACAUGCCAUAUACUACUUUAGAUACUCAAAAUCGACAUUGAACCGCUUUGAUUUGAAGCAAUUUGACCCUACUAGCUAUAAUCGAAUUUUCUAUCUCUACUGUCACUUUAUCGAUGGACCUCAAUUGACCUGAAGAGUGGAUUGUCCCUUCUCCUCCACCAGUCUUUGAAUCACUGUCAGGCCAUCCUCCACCCACUAGACGUCAUGUUUUCGACGAAACCCCUCUUUGGCCAAUAGAGUUUCGUUAUAACUACCAAGGAAUUUCCCUCAACCACCAUUGCCCAAAAUCCUAACUCCUGCGAAUCUAAAAGCCUAGGUACCAGCCAAUGUCUCCGCCAUCAACGCAUUCGAAAAUUGCUUCAAAAUUUACUCGGACAAAAGGAUUCGAGGGAGACCGCCACACUGCUUGUUCAACUCUUUUUCCAGUCAACAAUUCCAACUCAUGAACGUAUCCCAAAAUGAAGUAACUAUCCUCCUCAGUCCUGGGAAAUCCCUUGAGUCGGAUCUUAUACCCACUUUGUACCGUGUACUCACAAGGGCUCUCAAGAUACCAUCUUAGUCUAUUCGUAACUCCCUGUUGCACCAGUUGUAUAUUGAGGAUUCUCCUUGCCUCCUACUUUACUCUUAUUAUAGAGUUGUUCUGGUAUUUGUUGUCAAGUGCAUGUAUAUAAAAUAAAAUUUCUUUUUUGGUUACCAAGUUACAAAA